GUUUAAAUAGCCUAAAUAAAUAAAAAUAUUGAUCCCGUAGUCAACCAAUACAUCCGUAAAUGGCUUGAAAUUCCAAUCUCAGGAAUACUAAGUACUGUUUUUCUAACUUGUAACAAAUAUGGUCAAAAUAUUUAUCCUCCAUCGGUGAAAUUUAUCCAAUGCCAAACAGUUCUUCGAAAAGCUUUAAAACUUUCUCCUAAUCAAUCAAUUAACUAAUAUCCAAUACGACUUUUAUAACUCAACCAAAGAAGUGCUUAAAGAUUUUCGCUCUGAACAUAAACAUGAAGAUAAACUCAAAAACCAAUUAACUUGUCAGGGAUCCUUUUUCUCUAAUGUAACAAAGUUCUCCAUGUUGCACUAUCCUGGCAUUUUCCUGUUGCUACGAUAUCUAAAACUUGGGUAGUCGAAAAUAUUGAUUCUCCGGUGAACAAGUACGUCCGAAAAUGGCUGGAACUACUUAUAUCUGGAACAUUAAGUAACAUUUUUCUAACCCGUAAUAAGUUUGGUCUAAAUAUCCUCCCGGCAUCCGUCAGGUUUAUUCAGUGUCAAACAGUUCUACUCAAUGCCCUAAAAACAUCUCCAAACGAUUCAAUAAACGAAUUGUGGAAGUCAACUAAUAACCAUAUUAACAUUCAAUACGAUAGCUUCAAUUCAACUAAAGAAGUUUUAAAAACUUUGCAUUCUCAACAAGAA